UUCGUGGUAGAAAGGACGAUAGAUGGCAAGCGCAAAGGCGACUGCUGUCUGGCUGUUCAUUACACGCCGUGCUGUUGUUGCAAGCGUGAAGUGCACGAAGCUGGUGUAGCCUAGCCUAGCCUAGCCUAGCCCCGACAAGGGACAGCGCGCGGGAGCUUGCUGAUUGGCUCUUCGGAAGCCCACUUUCUCCGCGGGCCACACUGAUAUUAUACCUUCAUUUUAAGGUGAGGGGCCACAAAAUAUUGUACUGCGGGCCGCACUUGGCCCCCGGGCCGCGAGUCUGAGACCCCUGUUUUAGACUGUGCAAGAUGAAGGACGUCUCAGCGACCGUGUAAUACGCACGUUUGACCGCCAGAGGGAGAUGAAGAUUUCGUUUGUAGUAUUCGAGAGCUACUAGAACAAGAGAAUGGCCAAACAAGAGCAGCAGCAUAUGCACCAGGACUCACCUGUGUCCCCGGAAGACCACGAAGGACUGCACACGGGGGUCUAACUCCAACCACCGGGACGGGGACCAAUGCUGGGCCGUGGAUCAUCGGGUACCAGGGAGAAAAGAAAGGACAAGGAUUAUCCAUGGAAAGAACAUCACAGCUGCUACCUUUCAAGUCACUGGUGAGUGCUCUGUUUCCGUUCAGUGUUACUGGAUGUGUGGUUGUAUUUAUAUACACGUAGUAAUGAGGAUUCUAAGAGUUCUGGGCAGAGUCUCUGGAGGCUUUCCUAACCAGGUCCUGACUAAAAGCCCCAAGCCUAUCAAGUAUCCCAGUGCUAGCACCUGACGUUAUGGUUCUGCUGGGAGUUUCUGCUGUCACAAUAAAUCACACGCGAACAGGAUAUAGUGUAAUCACGCCGGCGUCCUGUUUCACUCCACUUGCUGUCGAGCACUUCAGCAAGAUGGAAGCCGCACAUGGCGACGCAGGCCGCCGCAGCGGCACACGUAGCUUUGACUCACUGUGCUUGAUGGUUGACUUGAGAGGAAUAAUCCAUUUGGGAUAACACACAAAGAACUGUUGAUGAUGGCUGCUGUUGCACACAAUGAUGUACUGUGUUACCAGAACUUUCCUUUCCCUCUUAAACGGCCCUCGCUUUGAUAGUAGACGCUAGACGUGAGAUGCAUUUGAGGGGAAAAUAACCAGAGAGGAUCUGUUUUAUGUCUUCACAUGUACCUCGCUCCCCCAGAGAUGAGACAUUAAAGAGGUGUGACGGUGUCGCUGAUGUAUCCUAUCCCUCAAAACCAAAGUAAACCGAGACGUCUGAACUUUCAUCGCAGGCACACACGCUGCGCGCUCGCACCCCAGCCUCCUCCUCCAGCCUCCAUAAAGAUAAAUCACAGUGUCUAAUUCUCACAAAUUACCCAAACAUUAUGUAGCACUCUCAUUUCCAGCACUGUUUAAUCUGCGUCGGGAGUAUUUGCUGUCACUUCUCGCUGCAAACACUCUUGGCACUUCAUUGUCUUCUGAUGGGUCAUAAAAGGCAGGCUUUGAUGGAUGCUAACUCGGGGCGUCUCUCUUUGUUGUGGGAUGUGACGACCCAGUGCAUGUGAGAUGUGAGGUGAAGACGCAGCGUGAAUGGGAGAUGUCAUGGAUGUCUGCCGCUGACACCCAGGCCCUGAGCACCGGCUUUGAUCUCUGCCAAUGAUCUCUCCAAAGCAAACACAAAUAAAGGAUUCUAGUGUUGUACAGUUUCCAGGGAGAAAUUUCUCAGGUUCUCCCGAGUGGUACUGUUUUUAAAGAAGUACGUGUAGCUGCCGAUCAAGGAGCCGUAGAGUAGAGGUCAGGAAAUGACUAAGG